rnacentral:rRNA from 1 species
UACGUAGGGGGCGAGCGUUGUCCGGAUUUAUUGGGCGUAAAGAGCUCGUAGGCGGUUCGAUAAGUCGGAUGUGAAAUCUCCACGCUCAACGUGGAGAGGCCAUUCGAUACUGUCGUGACUCGAGUCCGGUAGGGGAGUGUGGAAUUCCCGGUGUAGCGGUGAAAUGCGCAGAGAUCGGGAGGAACACCCGUAGCGAAGGCGGCACUCUGGGCCGGUACUGACGCUGAGGUGCGAAAGCGUGGGGAGCAAACAGG